CACGGAGGGUGCAAGCGUUGUUCGGAUUGACUGGGCGUAAAGGGCGUGUAGGCGGUCGGUCAAGUCUGGUGUGAAAGCCCGGGGCUCAGCUCCGGAAGUGCAUCGGAAACUAGCUGGCUGGAGCGCGAUAGAGGAGGGCGGAAUUCCUGGUGUAGCGGUGAAAUGCGUUAGAUAUCAGAGGAACACCGGCGGCGAAGGCGGCCCUCUGGAUCGUUGCUGACGCUGAGACGCGAAAGCGUGGGGAGCAAACAGG
rnacentral:rRNA from 1 species